rnacentral:rRNA from 1 species
AACGCGAAGAACCUUACCUACCCUUGACAUGCCAGGAAUCUCACAGAGAUGUGGGAGUGCCUUCGGGAACCUGGACACAGGUGCUGCAUGGCUGUCGUCAGCUCGUGUUGUGAGAUGUUGGGUUAAGUCCCGUAACGAGCGCAACCCCUGUCCUUAGUUGCCAACACGUAAAGGUGGGAACUCUAAGGAGACUGCCGGUGACAAACCGGAGGAAGGUGGGGAUGACGUCAAGUCAUCAUGGCCUUUAUGGGUAGGGCCACACACGUGCUACAAUGGUCGGUACAAAGGGAAGCCAACCCGCGAGGGGGAGCAAAAUCUCAGAAAACCGAUCGUAGUCCGGAUUGGAGUCUGGAACUCGACUCCAUGAAGUUGGAAUCGCUAGUAAUCGCGGAUCAGAACGCCGCGGUGAAUACGUUCCCGGGCCUUGUACACACCGUAGUAC